rnacentral:ncRNA from 2 species
CUUUCAUCAAGAGUGACAGAGGGACUGGCCCUAUGAAGUCACGGCAACCGCUCGCGGCGCAAGCUGCGGGGACCAGGUGCCAAAUCCAGCCGAAAGCCUGCCAGCAGCGAUGCCGUAUCGACGCUAAAGGGCCAACGGAAAAGAUGAGAU